UCGGUCCCUAUCUGCCGUGGGCGCUGGAGAAUUGAGGGGGGCUGCUCCUAGUACGAGAGGACCGGAGUGGACGCAUCACUGGUGUUCGGGUUGUCAUGCCAAUGGCACUGCCCGGUAGCUAAAUGCGGAAGAGAUAAGUGCUGAAAGCAUCUAAGCACGAAACUUGCCCCGAGAUGAGUUCUCCCUGAGACCUUGAGUCUCCUGAAGGAACGUUAAAGACUAUGACGUUGAUAGGUCGGGUGUGUAAGCGCAGCGAUGCGUUGAGCUAACCGAUACUAAUGAACCGUGAGGCUUAACCUU
rnacentral:rRNA from 2 species